rnacentral:miRNA from 1 species
UCCCUCAGAGAGUUUCAAUCAUU